UUUGCGGCAUGGGANGGGGUCGCGUCCUAUCAGCUUGAUGGCGGGGUAACGGCCCACCAUGGCUUCGACGGGUAGCCGGCCUGAGAGGGCGACCGGCCACAUUGGGACUGAGAUACGGCCCAGACUCCUACGGGAGGCAGCAGUGGGGAAUAUUGCACAAUGGGCGCAAGCCUGAUGCAGCGACGCCGCGUGAGGGAUGGAGGCCUUCGGGUUGUAAACCUCUUUUGUUAGGGAGCAAGGCACUUUGUGUUGAGUGUACCUUUCGAAUAAGCACCGGCUAACUACGUGCCAGCAGCCGCGGUAAUACGUAGGGUGCAAGCGUUAUCCGGAAUUAUUGGGCGUAAAGGGCUCGUAGGCGGUUCGUCGCGUCCGGUGUGAAAGUCCAUCGCUUAACGGUGGAUCCGCGCCGGGUACGGGCGGGCUUGAGUGCGGUAGGGGAGACUGGAAUUCC
rnacentral:rRNA from 1 species